rnacentral:rRNA from 1 species
AGCAGCCGCGGUAAUUCCAGCUCCAAUAGCGUAUAUUAAAGUUGUUGCAGUUAAAAAGCUCGUAGUUGAAUUUCGGGAUUGACACAUCGGUCGUGCCUUAAGGGGUAUGAACUGGUGUAGUCAAUUUCUCACCUUCUGGAGAACCGCGAUGCCCUUAAUUGGGUGUCACGGGGGAACCAGGACCUUUACUUUGAAAAAAUUAGAGUGUUUAAAGCAGGCAUUUUGCUUGAAUACAUUAGCAUGGAAUAAUAAAAUAGGACGGCAUGAUUCUAUUUUGUUGGUUUCUAGGAUCACCGUAAUGAUUAAUAGGGAUAGUUGGGGGCAUUAGUAUUCAAUUGUCAGAGGUGAAAUUCUUGGAUUUAUUGAAGACUAACUACUGCGAAAGCAUUUGCCAAGGAUGUUUUCAUUAAUCAAGAACGAAAGUUAGGGGAUCGAAGACGAUCAGAUACCGUCGUAGUCUUAACCAUAAACUAUGACCGACUAGGAAUCAGACGAUGUUAAUUUUUAAUGUAACUCGUUU